rnacentral:tRNA from 1 species
GAGAUGUGUCCGAGUGGUCUAUGGUGACUGACUUGAAAUCAGUUGAAGGUAAAACUUCCGUGGGUUCGAAUCCUACCAUCUCC